AUGAACGCUAGCUACAGGCUUAACACAUGCAAGUCGAGGGGCAGCAUGAAGAUGUGCUUGCACAACUUUGAUGGCGACCGGCGCACGGGUGAGUAACGCGUAUCCAACCUUCCCUAUAGUAGAGAAUAGCCCGGCGAAAGUCGGAUUAAUGCUCUAUGUUCUUCUUUGAUGGCAUCUGACGAGAAGCAAAGGUUCACCGCUAUAGGAUGGGGAUGCGUCUGAUUAGGUAGUCGGCGGGGUAACGGCCCACCGAGCCAACGAUCAGUAGGGGUUCUGAGAGGAAGGUCCCCCACAUUGGUACUGAGACACGGACCAAACUCCUACGGGAGGCAGCAGUGAGGAAUAUUGGUCAAUGGGCGAGAGCCUGAACCAGCCAAGUAGCGUGCAGGGAAAAGACUGCCCUAUGGGUUGUAAACUGCUUUUAUGCGGGAAUAAAGUCCACUACGUGUAGUGGUUUGUAUGUACCGCAUGAAUAAGGACCGGCUAAUUCCGUGCCAGCAGCUGC
rnacentral:rRNA from 1 species